CCGUAAAUAUGAUUUUUUUUUAACGUUUAUGAAACGUUUAUAAAGAACCCGCAAUGAAUAGGUAAAAAAAAAAUUUUAAAAACAUUUAUUAAACGUUUAAUACACCUUUAAAACUUAAUUACGUUCAUAACUUAAUUGCAAAAUAUCUAUAUUUAAUGUACCGGUAUAUAAAAAAACCCAAUAAAGGUCAAGAUUAAUUAUCUUAUACAUAUUUUAUUUUAAAACACACCCAAGGUUGACAGUUGGUCCAAUCAAAUUUAAACAUCUUUCCGCCAAAAAGGAAUCCUAGCCAAACCGGCAUGGCUGCUUUAUUAGAGCUGUGAUAAACUAUCGAGUUUUAUAAGUUGCUAGAAGGCGUAAAAGUUGAAAAUUAGGUUGAUGUCUAAUUCCCUAAUGGCCCAAUUUAAUUUAAAGGGAAAUAAAGGGAGGCGGUCCAUAAUGGACUUAGAAAUUUACAAAGUUGUCCAAGAUAGUGUAAUGAUCAGUCAGCCGAGCUGCAAUGAAGCCGAGAUAAUAACAGCAGUUUCGGCUCAUCUAAAAUAUGCACCCGACAGAAGAGGGACCAAUUAAGUACAUGUACAGUUUUAAUUUGUUUAUUACAUGUCAUAUUUUAUUAUAAUCUUUAUAAGCCAUUUUAAGUUCUUUUAUCAUCCAUUUAAUUUUAUUUUAUUUUCUAUGUGUGAUGUCCACAAAAUGUUAACUGCGCCAUUGAGCAGUGUUUUAUAUUGGUAACAGGCGCUUUAUAAAUAAAUAAAUUUUUAUUAUUAUUACGGUACCAAUUGCAUUAAAAUUACUUUCUCAUUUUUAGCAAUAUCAUUCAUUACCAUUACCCAUUACAUUGAAAGUAAAUAAUUACAUUUUAUUACUAUUUAAAGA